rnacentral:rRNA from 1 species
UACAGAGGGUGCUAGCGUUGUUCGGAAUCAUUGGGCGUAAAGGGCGUGUAGGCGGUUUGUUAAGUCAUGUGUGAAAUCCCUCGGCUCAACCGGGGGAACGACGCAUGAAACUGGCAAGCUAGAGUACCAAAGAGGGGGGUGGAAUUCCGGGUGUAGCGGUGGAAAUGCGUAGAGAUCCGGGAAGGAACACCUGGUGGCGAAGGCGGCCCCUG